GCUGCUCGCACGUGCGGUGGUUUGCUGUGACAAGGGGCUCUGCUGGAACAACAGCGACACUUGUGACACACAGCCACUCAUUUGGGCUCCUGCAAGGCUUUGUUACUAAACAAUGAAUGAGGUAAUGAGGAGCCCUCCUGCUACUUGGCUUAACAGGACAGCAGAGAGAAUCAAAUAUGUUUAAUAGCACUGGAAAAAAAAGAAAAGAGUUAAUGAGAUACUUUCUUAGUUGUUGGCAAGUGAGAGCUCUGUAUUGACAAAACCACCAUCAGGCAUCAGGCAAACAAUCACUGCAUUCCUGUGUUCACAAAGGAAGAAAUCACCAAGUACUUCAGCUCUUUAUUGAUUCGAGUUUGGCAUUGACACCCAGCUUCCAUUUCAGGUGAUGAUGUAGAGCCUGGCAAGGACUUUCACCCAUAGAUGUCAGUUUUACCCAGGGCAAGGACAGUGAGAAGAUUUUUGUCAGCCACAGAAACUGGAGGUUUUAUUUAUCAGAAACUUUUAUAUAUCAGAUGGCUUUGGCAGCUUAAAACUCUUUGGAUUUUUCUUUCAGCUCAAGCCUGGUAUGGGACAUGCCACCUGGAAAGCUAUUCCCCACAAUAUUCCCAUUAUAUCACCAAUUAUUUCUAGCCUUGAGGAUAUCAAGCUUUUUGUGUGCACAUAAUGAAGACUCACUCCAUGACAGCUUUCCAAGACCUGGACUUUAAAACAAAUCUGGUAUCAUCAGCCUUACAGUAAAAUUCCUGAGCUGGCAAAACAACAGAACUUUCUAAAGGAGCCAGUGCAGUCUGUCUCUAAGAGGGAAAAUAGACAUUUGCUACAAGGAAAUAAAAAAAAAAAAAAAAAAGAAAGAAAAAAAAAGAGAGAAAAAAUGGCUAAUCAAAACAAUGAUUUAUUUUUACUUGUAUGAUUCAUUCCCUUAAAUAAACAGCAACUAAAAAUCAGCCUCCCUCUAGCUACAAAUUGGCCAAAGCAUGCACAGAUCAAUCUUGAUCACUCUUGAUAAUGGGUUUUUUCCACUGAGUCCAUUUCACCCAGCGUGCAAAGUGCAGCUCCUUACUCUCAGCUUAAUGCAUUUAAUAAAACUUAAUUAAACAUUUGUAAGCCUAAUGAAGCACUCUGGAAAUGAAAACAAAGGCAAGCCAACAUCCUUCUAAAUGGAAACUUGGC